AAAAUGGUACAUGAGAGAGAUUGUAUAUAACCAGAAACAAAGUUCAAUCUCAAGGUGUAACUGUACAUAGUAAUGCCAAGAUCAAGAACUGAUAUAAAAUAAUCGGGGACGAAUUUGUGCAAAAUAUUGGGACUCAAUGUGAAUGAACUGUAGAACCCUUGGGUUGAAGAUUACACGAACGAAUCAAGAUAUCUACAACUAUGCCUUCUGUUGUAUUCUAGCAAGCUUCCAUAUGUUCGAUCCCAGAUACCAAUGUAAAGAGAUUCGUCGUCUGGGCUCAGAGAUACCCCUGAUAUCUCACCAAAAAGAUCAAUUUCCUGACGUUUCUUGUAGUCUGACUUGGUAUUGUAGAUAUGGACAAAAUCUGCAGGUUCAGCCACAACAAGGAACUGUCCAUCGGAUGAGAAACGGAUAGAUCGAGCAGCACCGAUGUUUCCCUUCAGAAUGGCUGUAGACGAGGAUAAGUUUCUCAAGUCCCAAAUUCGACAUGUCUUAUCUUGAUUCCCAGUGGCAAAUGUACGCCCAUCUGGAUGCCACGCACAAGCAAAAGAGUAGUCUAAAUGACCAACGAUUGAAGCUACCGUCUUUCCAUUGCGGGAAUCAACAAGUAAACCAUCUAGAUCAUCCCCAACAACAGUAAAAAACUUGCAAUCUGGGCUUACCGAGGUGUGCUGCAUCAAUUACCAGUGAAAUAAUAAAUACAUGAGCUCAUGAAGGAUGCAACUUCAAACAAAAUUGAAAUAUCUGUUCACAUAAAGAAUGUAGACAGGAAGAAAUAAUUCUUAAUCCGGAUCAAAAUUGGAGAGAAAUGAAUAUCUAUUACGAUAUAUCCCCUACUUAUUACUUUCUUAUAAUCUCUGAGGAAAUGCGAUUCAAACUGGAUGAUGGACAAGGUCCUGAGUCCAAUUAAUAAAAUCCUUGCUUAUUAAUUGCCGAAUCUCAUACUAGACUGAAGAAACCAGAGGAAGUUGAAUGAACUUCUUGAUAGUAGACAACAGCCUGUGGGUUUCCACUAUCUACAUGCCAGUUCAUCCCUCAAGUAGGGGGUAUUACUAUCUAUGGACGUGAUAUUCUUCUAUCAGUGUAAGCAAAAGAAGAGCUGAAGAUUCUAUAACAAAAGAACACUUGGCAACUAAAAAAAAAAAAAGCUUUCUAUUUAUGAUAUGAAUACCUGGUUGAUUGAAUCAACAUAUGAUGUUGGCUUAUAAAUCUUA
rnacentral:misc_RNA from 1 species